rnacentral:rRNA from 1 species
AUGGGGAGGGGGAAGAUCGAGAUCAAGAGGAUCGAGAACACGACAAGCCGCCAGGUGACCUUCUGCAAGCGCAGGAACGGGCUGCUCAAGAAGGCCUAUGAGCUCUCCGUCCUCUGCGAAGCCGAGAUCGCCUUGAUCGUCUUCUCCGCCCGCGGCCGCCUCUACGAGUAUGCCAGUAACAGCACGCGGACGACGAUCGACAGGUACAAGAAGGCUUCUGCAAGCGCUUCUGGCUCUGCUCCAGCUAUAGACGUCAAUUCUCAGCAAUACUUUCAGCAAGAAUCAGCGAAACUGCGCCAUCAGAUACAGUCCCUGCAAAAUGCAAACAGGAACCUGAUGGGCGAAUCCGUCGGCAACUUGACACUCAAGGAGCUCAAGAGCCUGGAGAACAGGCUUGACAAGGGCAUCGGCCGGAUCAGAGCAAAGAAGCACGAGCUGCUGUUCGCGGAGAUCGAAUACAUGCAGAAGCUGGAGGCGGACCUGCAGAGCGAGAACAUGUAUCUCCGAGCCAAGGUGGCGGAAGCGGAGCGGCUGGCCCUGGCGGCGCCCCCGCCGUCGUCGGGGAGCGGGGCGGAGUUGGAGGUGCUCCCGACGUUCGACGCGAGGAGCUACUACCACCACCAGGCAGUGAACAUGCUGCAGGACGCCGCGGCGGCCUCCUCCUCCUCGCGCUACUCCCAGUCGUCCCAGGCGGCGGCGGCGACCACCGCUCUUCACCUCGGCUACCAGAUUAAGGGGGCCCAACUUAACUGA